GAAAUGCGAUAAGUAAUGUGAAUUGCAGAAUUCAGUGAAUCAUCGAAUCUUUGAACGCACCUUGCGCUCCUUGGUAUUCCUUGGAGCAUGCCUGUUUGAGUAUCAUGAAAUCUUCAAAGUAAAUCUUUUGUUAACUCAAUUGGUUUCUACUUUGGUAUUGGAGGUCUUUGCAGCUUCACACCUGCUCCUCUUUGUUCAUUAGCUGGAUCUCAGUGUUAUGCUUGGUUCCACUCGGCGUGAUAAGUUAUCUAUCGCUGAGGACACUGUAAAAGGUGGCCAAGGUAAAUGCAGAUGAACCGCUUCUAAUAGUCCAUUGACUUGGACAAUACUUUUAUGAUCUGAUCUCAAAUCAGUUAGGCCUACCCGCUGAACUUAAGC
rnacentral:misc_RNA from 1 species